rnacentral:rRNA from 1 species
AUGCAAGUCGAAUGCGAUUAUCGGCAUGGCAGACGGCUGAGUAAUACAUGGGAAUCUACCUCAAACUCGAGAAUAGCCCAUCGAAAGGUGGUGUAAUACUCGAUAGUUCCGUUUACGGUAAAGCUCCGGCGGUUUGAGAUGAGCCCAUGUCCUAUCAGGUUGUUGGUAGGGUAAUUGCCUACCAAGCCUAUGACGGGUAGCUGGUUUGAGAGGAUGAUCAGCCAGACUGGGACUGCGAUACGGCCCAGACUCCUACGGGAGGCAGCAACUAGGAAUCAUGCGCAAUGGACGAAAGUCCGACGCUGCGACGUCGCGUGAGGGAUGAAGGUCUUCGGAUCGUAAACCUCUUUUAUCUGGGAACAAGUUCUGAGUGUACCAGAUGAAUAAGUGCCUGCCAACCACGUGCCAGAAGCAUCGGUAAUGCGUGGGGCACGAGCGUUAUCCGGAUUUACUGGGCGUAAAGAGAUGCGUAGGCGCCUUUUUAAGUCACUUGUAAAAUCUCCCCGCUCAACGGGGAAACUGCAAGUGAUACUGAAUUGGUUGAGUCAAGCAGAGGAGAGGGGAAUUCCUGGUGGAGCGGUUAAAUGCGUUGAUAUCAGGAGGAAUACCAAGUGCGAAGGCACCUCUCUGGACUUGUACUGACGCUAAGGCUCGAAAGUGCGGGGAGCAAAACGGAUUAGAUACCCGUGUAGUCCACACUGUAAACGAUCCCUGCUAGAUGUU